ACCGAGUCGCCCAAUCUGGCUAAAGAUGUCUAGAACACCAGCAACUGCAUAUGUUGGCGCAACACCACCAUCAUCAUAUCUUCUUGGAGCUCUUCUCCGGGUACCUACUUUUGACGCAAAGUAGUACGAUGUGUAGUGAGAAACUUCUUCCGUCAAACUUCCAGCAAUUAUAGAACCUUCAACUUUGGCGAGGUUCUUUGCUUUUUCCUUCAAAUAUUUCAUGGCUCGC
rnacentral:lncRNA from 1 species